UUCAAGAGUUUGAGACCUCUGGUAUUCCAAAUGUUCGGAAGGAUUUUUUUCUAUUGUAUGUGACAUUUAGCAUUCCAAACAUCCUAAACAUUUUUCUGGGUUUCAUCUAGAAAGGCACCAUCAAUUGUCAGGAAUCAAGAUUAGUGCAUUUUGGAGUUGAGAGGGAAGGAGAUCGAUGUAGCGUUUCUCUGAUACAGCAGAUGGCUGAUAACUUGUAAAUUCUCCACGAAGGCUGACUUGGGAGCAUUGUUCUUUUCCCCACCAAUUACCAAAGAAAAGAAUUCAUUAAUACAGGGGCACACAAUCUUGCAAAAUCUUCUCUAGUUCACGGAAGAAAGAAGAACAGAAUGGCCGAUCCGUUUACCUGCAAGGUUGCUGAGGUAAUCCUGACAAGGGUGAUCUUCCUUGCAACCAAAGGGAUUAAUCUCACGAAUGAUUCAAGGGAACAUUUUAAUAAUCUGAAAAUGAAAUUAGAAACGAUUCAAGGCGUGCUACAAGACGCCCAGAAUCGACAAACAAUGGAACAUAGAGUCGGAAAUUGGUUGAAGAAGGUUCAGGAUCUAGCUUAUGAUGCUGAGGACAUGCUGGACGAGUUCACAAUACUAAUUCAGCAACAAAAAACGACGAUGACCAGGAAAGACAAGGUACGCAACUUCUUUUCGACCAUCAGUCCGGUUGCAGCUCUCUUUAAGAUGGCCGAUAGAAUUAAGAGCGUAAGUGAAUCUUUUGACAAUCUUGGAAAGGAAGCGACUAUCAUGCGGCUUGUGCCUACAGACGAUGAGACUGUUGAAAGUCGAAGAACCACCCAUUCCAUGGUAGAAGAAUCAGAAGUCUUUGGAAGAGAUGGUGACAAAACGAGGAUCGUAAACCUUUUAAUUAACCCAGAUGAUGGAAAUAAAGCUAUUUCGAUCCUCCCCAUCGUAGGUAUGGCUGGACUCGGGAAGACCACCCUCGCUCAAGUAGCAUUCAACAAUGGCGCGGUAGUAGCACAUUUUGAUGAACGUAUGUGGGUUUGUAUCUCGGUAGAUUUCAACAUUGAAAGAAUUUUAAAACAAAUCCUAGAAAGCCUUGGAGAAAUGAAUGUCUUAUCAAAUCUGGAUGUGAUGCUCCGUAGCCUUCAAAGUAAGUUGAUGGGAAAGAAAUUCUUGUUAGUACUGGAUGAUGUCUGGGAUGAAUAUCGGAGCAAUUGGAAUACGUUAAGAGGUUUCCUGUUGAAAAGCCAAGCAGCAAGAGGGAGCAAAAUUAUUGUGACUACAAGCAAAGAUGAGGUUGCGAAAAUCAUGGGCACACUUCCGACGCAUCACUUGGGACUAUUGUCAAAAGAAGAGUGCUGGUUAAUUUUCAGCAAAAGAGCAUUUGCUGAAGGAUCAGCAGCACAAGAGACUCCAAGACUGAUCGAAAUAGGAAAAAAGAUGGUAGACAAAUGCAGAGGCCUACCUUUAGCAGCAAAGGCUCUUGGAAGUCUGAUGUACUACAAGCAAGAGGAAGAGUGGGUAGCUGUCCAAACAAGUGAAAUUUGGGAUUUAUCAGAGGCUGAAUCAGGUGGAAUCUUACCAGAAUUGAGGUUGAGCUAUGACCAUUUGCCAUCCAACAUAAAGCAAUGCUUUAGGUAUUGUUCUGUGUUUCCCAAGGAUUACGAGAUCGAUAGAAUGAUGCUUAUUCAGCAGUGGAUAGCACACGGAUUCAUAGGCUUUCAAGGGUCAUCCGGUCAAGCUGCAGCUAUCAAAGAAAUGGAGGAUAUCGCUAAUGACUCGUUCAAUUACUUGCUGUGGAAUUCUUUCUUUCAGGAUGUAAAGAAAAAUGAGUAUGGAGACAUCGAAACAGUGAAGAUGCACGACCUUGUGCAUGAUCUUGCACAACAUGUUUCCAAGGCUGAAUGCUUGUCAUUUGUCGAAGACGAUGAGGUUAAUGACAUUACUAUUACAACUGAUGUUCGGCACUUAUCUGUGUAUGCUCCAAAAUUACCGAAGUUACUGAAUGUCUCAGUAUCGUAUGAGGAAAACAAGCUUCGAACUUGCCUUUUGUGGCUUAAUUUUGAUGAUCUUAUGAAUGUUUCCGACUUACUUGAAGGUUUUUCUGUUGACAGGCUUUUGAAAUUUAAGUGCCUGCGUGUAUUAGAUUUGGUGGGCAUCACUCAGUUGCCAGCAUCAUUCCAAAAGUUGAAAUUACUAAGAUACCUUGACCUGUCAGAAAAUCAAUGUGAAAAAUUACCGGAGUCAAUCACCACUCUCUACAAUCUACAGACGCUAAGGCUCAAGAAUUGCAGGAAGCUUAAAGUGCUUCCCAUGGAGAUGCGGAAGCUCGUUAACUUGAGGCAUCUUGAUCUAUUCGGAUGUAUUAACUUGGAAAAGAUGCCAAUGGAGUUGGGGAAAUUACUUUGCCUCCAGACAUUACCCAUGUUUAUAGUGGGUCGGGACAAUGGACAUGGUAUUGAAGAGUUGCAAAACCUAUUAAACCUAAGAGGUUUAUUAGCAAUUACAAAUCUAGAGAAUGUGAACGAUGGAAGAAGAGCCAAGGAUGCAAAAUUAGAAGACAAGCUUUACAUCCAGAGAUUGGAUUUGGAAUGGUGCAGGGCAUGCGAUAUCAACAUUCAUCAUGACGUGGAUUAUAAUGAUGUGCUAGAAGGUCUGGAACCUCACCCAAAUUUGAAGGGGUUGCAAAUUAGUAAUUUUGGGGGCAGUAGAUAUCCUGGGUGGAUGAGAGAGAUUGAAUCAUUUCUCCCCAAUUUGGUCGGAAUAGCACUAGAUGGAUGCUGGAGAUGGGAAAAUCUUCCCAUGCUUGGCCAUCUACCAUUGCUUAAGAUUCUUGAAUUACGCCGGAUGAUGUUUAGACGUAUCCAGUUCCAUGGAGACAACAGUAGCAGUGAUGAUCGUGGUGGCAAGCAAGCAACAACAAAACAAAUGUUUCCAUCAUUGAAAACCUUGUGGCUGACAGACAUGCCUAUGUUGGUGGAGUGGAUGGAAGCUUCUACCUCUUCUUCUUCCUUUUUCCCUUGCCUCGAGAAGUUAAUUAUCAAGAAGUGCGCCAAGUUGAGAGUCACACCAGAUUGUCUGCUUCCUUCUCUCAAGAGACUAAGGAUUGAAUCCAGCAAUGCCAUGUUGCUAUGUGAAGGAUCAUUUGCAGUCGAACUCACCUCUCUUACUUCCCUUCAAAUAAGCAACUGUGAAAAGCUUGAGGUUCUGCCGGAAUGGUUGCUAGAGAAUAAUAAAAAUUCCCUCCGCCAUUUGAGUAUCAUGAAAUGUCCCAAGUUGGAGGCUAUUCCCAGGGAAAAUUUACAAGUCCUCACAUCUCUCAAGACAUUGAGGAUAACUGAUUGCCUAUCUAUGCCAAAUAUUUUAUGCUUGGAUGAUCUUCAAAUGUUGAGAUUGGAGAAAGACAAUGCAUGUGAAGAAAUUCGGCUGUCUAAUGUCGACAGCUCACAGUCAGUGCUCUCCAUCGCACUAGAACCAGUACCAGAACCAGAGUCAGAGACAGAAACAGAACCAGAACCAGAACCAGAAGUAGAGCUAGAGCCAGAACUAGAAUUUUUCGAGGCAUGCGAAGAAUUUUGACUGUCUAAUGCCGACAUCCGGCUGUCAACAAUAGGGCUUUCCUUGGGAGGUUGUCCGGUUUUUCUCUUAGUGGCUGUACUCAGGUUGUCUUUAGUCAGUUGCUUCCUGGUUUGGUCGGUCUUGUCAGGUCCACUGGAACUUGCUACUGUGGGAGUUUCUAUUGCUCUGUUUAAUCAAGUAUCAAGGAUUGCAAUAUUCCCACUUGUUAGUGUCGCAACUUCUUUUGUUGCGGAGGAAGAUACUAUUGGAAGAGUAAGCACUGAAGAUGUAGAAAGUGAAAAUAUGGAUAAGGGUUUAGCUAUACAGAGUGAGAUGAAAGAGUUGAUUCAACAUUCUGGUAUGUUAUUUUGUUGAUUCAGGGGCUGUAUGAAUUGCUUUAGCAAAACGCAUUUCAACACAAUAGAGUUCUGUUUGGUAUGUCCAAGUGUGAGAAUGGGAAGAGACAUAUUCCAUCAGCGUCAUUUGCAUGGUUAUUGGGGGGAUACCUGGUCUUCUCCAAGCCAUAUUCCUAAUUUCUGGAGCAAAACCUCUCUUGAACUUCAUGGGUGUAAAUUCUGGAUAGGGAGCCAUGUGGACAUAGGUGCUAAUACAUGCACUGAUAGGGGCAGGUCCGUCUUGCAGCUAAUAGCUGUGUUACCAAAGACAUUACUGAACCAGGAGACUAUGGUGGUUUUUCUUUGGUGCCUAUCAAUGAAUGGCGGAGACAAGUUGCUACCCAUCGUUGGAUAUUGAAGGGCAUUGUUGACUUGCUUCCAUGCAAUAUAUCGAUGAGGUCAUGUGGGUCCUCUACGGAUGACAACGUGAACAUAUGUGUCCACGGCUAUUUACCAGAGAUUGAGGGAAAUUUUCAUCAUUUUAGGCAAUGUUUUCACGAAUCCAUGUUUAUUCUGCAGCACAACUUAUAAGGCAAAGUAGAAGAUUGCUAAAGCAAACUAAAAAGAUUGAUGUUUUGCUGGGUUUGAAUCUCUUUUUGGCAAUACUAUAUAUAUUGAUGGGAAAGACUGAUGUAUUGAGUGGCUUUUUAGUGACACCAAUCAGGCCACCCCUAUA